AAAAUGACUCUCGGCAACGGAUAUCUCGGCUCUCGCAUCGAUGAAGAACGUAGCGAAAUGCGAUACUUGGUGUGAAUUGCAGAAUCCCGUGAACCAUCGAGUCUUUGAACGCAAGUUGCGCCCGAAGCCAUUAGGCCGAGGGCACGCCYGCCUGGGUGUCGCAC
rnacentral:rRNA from 1 species